UUAUAGAAGGUUUCUAUGCCUAUGUGUUCGUACACUUUCGCGUACCAUUGUAUCGUUUAUUAUUGAAAUUAAUGAAACCAAAGCACUUUGCACAUAUUUUAAUAUAAAGCCCUUUGUGUUAAAAUACGGAUAGAAGUAGAAGAAGUAACAUAAAGUUAAU